AUUGGCUUCGUGAUGAUUCAAA
rnacentral:miRNA from 1 species